AAGCCCCGGAGAUCUCGGAUCUCAACUCCAAGUUUGCAACUUGGUGUGUUAACACCUCGGAACC
rnacentral:tRNA from 1 species